GUUGUAGCUCAGUGGUAGAGUGCUUUCCUAGCAUGUGUGAGGCCCUGGGUUUGAUUCUCAGUUCUACA
rnacentral:tRNA from 1 species